CCCAAACUCGAUUGUCACCCCGGCGAAGGCCGGGGCCCAUCUCCCGAUCUCAGGGUGGACCCCGGCCUUCGCCGGGGUGACAUCUGGUGGAAGAGA
rnacentral:pre_miRNA from 1 species